rnacentral:pre_miRNA from 1 species
CUUGUGCGGUGCAGUCACUAUCACACCUUAGGUGUGUCAGUAUUUCCAGGUCACCAAGGUGUGUUAGUGAUGACACUGCGCAAAG